rnacentral:lncRNA from 1 species
GGGGAAGAAAAGCUGUAUCGAUUGUUGAGAUCUGGCGACUUGUUUAAAUUUCAUCAGCCUCACUUCUAUGAACUCUCAGGCCUCAUGUGUACCAGCUCUCUGCUCUCCUUUGCCUUGGGACGUUCCAUCCCUGGAAGUUUCCCUGCCCACAUCUUUGUAGAGAGUCCAUUCUCCAAGCUUCAGUGUGUCAUCUGUGAGGACUGUGACCAACCUGGUACAUCGCCUCAGGGCAUUCAUUUCAGGCUCCUUCUAAAUGGUCAAGUUUUCAAGAUUGUUUUGGCUCUAGCAAAACAAGUUGGAACAUUCACAUCAUCCAACAAAACACCAACAUUUUUGUAAUGGCCUGCAAGGCCUUCCGAGAUCUGCCUCCUGCAACUCAGCUUCUCCUGUGCUCUCCUUCUGGACUCACUCUGCCUCAGCAACACUGGUCCCUGUUGCCCCACCAAUAUACCAGGUAAACCUCAGGUUCUCCUCCUGCCUUUUGCUAAGUAUAUGUCUUGAUGACAAGCCUUCUGCUGAUGAGCUGUGUUUCUGGACCGAUCAUGGUAGAAGUCAAUUAACGUGUCCCUCACUUGGGGUUUCUCAAGGCUGCACUGAUGAGGAAACUGAAACAGAAAAUCCAGAGUAAAUUCCACCAGGCCACACAGCAAGGUCUGAUAGAGCCAGGAGAGACUUUAUGAAAUCCAGACUCUCACACUAAUGCUCUAUCAGCUAGACCUCCAUGUGAGUCUCCCCAAUGUAGGUAGGAAGUGCUUUCC